GAUGAACGCUGGCGGCAGGCUUAACACAUGCAAGUCGAGCGGGGUGAUGGUGCUUGCACUAUCACUUAGCGGCGGACGGGUGAGUAAUGCUUAGGAAUCUGCCUAUUAGUGGGGGACAACAUCUCGAAAGGGAUGCUAAUACCGCAUACGUCCUACGGGAGAAAGCAGGGGAUCACUUGUGACCUUGCGCUAAUAGAUGAGCCUAAGUCGGAUUAGCUAGUUGGUGGGGUAAAGGCCUACCAAGGCGACGAUCUGUAGCGGGUCUGAGAGGAUGAUCCGCCAAACUUGGGCUGAAACACGGCCCAGACUUCGAACGGAGGCAGCAGUGGGGAAGAUUGGACAAUGGGGGGAACCCUGAUCCAGCCAUGCCGCGUGUGUGAAGAAGGCCUUAUGGUUGUAAAGCACUUUAAGCGAGGAGGAGGCUCUUUUGGUUAAUACCCAAGAUGAGUGGACGUUACUCGCAGAAUAAGCACCGGCUAACUCUGUGCCAGCAGCCGCGGUAA
rnacentral:rRNA from 1 species